rnacentral:lncRNA from 1 species
CUAGACACCGUUGAGCAAGCUCAGGCGUGUGUUCUUGGAUCGCAUUCUCUUAUGUGGAAAUUUUUGUUUAAGUGGGAUAAGAGCAAAGGGAAGAAGAUAGCAAGACCUCGAAGAUCCGAGCGUGAAAUGUUUGAUCCCUCGGGUGGGGUAGGAGAGCACCCUCUACGGAUGAGCACCAGGCACGAGCAUUACUGUAGCAGAGACUGGACCGGCUCGAGGAGGAAGGGGCUGGCGCGGAACACGAGGAGAAAAUGAUCUGAUUGAGAACUAAGAAGUUUCCACCCAAAAUCCAACUGCAAGGAAGUCCUGGGAAAAUGACUGUGUACGCCUCUGAUCUGGCUACUCUUGUCCCCUGGAGGCCGGGCCAUCCUACACCAGCCCAGUCUGACAUCUUCCACACCCCAAAGAAGGCCCAUACCUGACUCUAUGUAAGGUGGAGAUGACUUUGGUUCAAGACCAUGAAGACUUAUGGUCACCAGAGUGGCCCUUAUAUUAAGAUAGUUCCUUGGGAACCUUCCAAAUGGUCAUGUUCCUAGCUUGAACCCAGAAGCUACUUAUUGUCAAUAAAGUAAACAUGAUUUCCCUAACCCAUCUGGUCAUGUAAACCUCCUUUAUGUCAGACUUCACUGAGGAUCUUUACAGCCUGGAGGAAAUACUCAGAUUAGG